rnacentral:ncRNA from 1 species
GUAACAAGGCAACAGGGACACCUCCCGUUAGGAGGGGAUUUCGGAAGAAGUCUUACCUGUCCGUCUGACC